rnacentral:rRNA from 1 species
AUGAAUGCUGGCGGCGUGGAUAAGGCAUGCAAGUCAAGGGGGUCCCGCAGCAAUGCGGGGCAACCGGCAGACGAGGUAGUAAUACGCAGGUACGCACCGAAAAGUCGGGCAUAGCUAUCCGAAAGGGUAGGUAAUUUCCGAUAGUUCCCGGCUUGCCGGGGUAAAGCAGCAAUGCGCUUUUUGAGCGGCCUGUGGGACAUCAGCUAGUUGGUAGGGUAACGGCCUACCAAGGCUAUGACGUCUAGGGGACCUGAGAGGGUGACCCCCACCGAUGGGACUGAGAGACGGCCCAUACACCUACGGGUGGCUGCAGUCGAGAAUCUUCCGCAAUGGGCGAAAGCCUGACGGAGCGACGCCGCGUGAUGGAUGAAGUCCUUCGGGACGUAAACAUCUUUUAUGCGUGAGAAAGUUAUUGAUGUUAGCGCAUGAAUAAGGGGCUCCUAACUCUGU